CCUACGGGAGGCAGCAGUAGGGAAUCUUUCACAAUGGGCGAAAGCCUGAUGGAGCAACGCAGCGUGCAGGAUGAAGGCCUUCGGGUUGUAAACUGCUUUUAUAAGCGAGAAAUAUGAUGGUAACUUAUGAAUAAGGAUCGGCUAACUACGUGCCAGCAGCCGCGGGCAUACGUAGGAUCCGAGCAUUAUCCGGAGUGACUGGGUGUAAAGAGUUGCGUAGGUGGCAUAAUAAGUAGCUAGUGAAAUCUGGUCGCUCAACAAUUCAGAUUAUUAGGUAAAAUGUUAAGCUCGAGAACAUUAGAGGUAACUGGAAUUACUAGUGUAGGAGUGAAAUACGUAGAUAUUAGAAUGAACACCAAUGGCGUAUGCAGGUUACUGGAACGGUUCUGACACUAAGGCACGAAAGCGUAGGGAGCAAACGGGAUUAGAUACCCUGGUAGUC
rnacentral:rRNA from 1 species